rnacentral:rRNA from 1 species
CUAUGCGCCUUGCCAGCCCGCUCAGGUGUGCCAGCAGCCGCGGUAAUACGGAGGAUGCGAGCGUUAUCCGGAUUUAUUGGGUUUAAAGGGUGCGCAGGCGGAUUUUAAGUCAGCGGUCAAAUCGUGGGGCUCAACCCCAUCCAGCCGUUGAAACUGGGGAUCUAGAGUGUGCGAGAGGUAUGCGGAAUGCGUGGUGUAGCGGUGAAAUGCAUAGAUAUCACGCAGAACCCCGAUUGCGAAGGCAGCAUACCGGUGCACAACUGACGCUCAGGCACGAAAGCGUGGGUAUCGAACAGG